CGCUUCCCAUCCCAUUUUCUUCUCAGGUUACGGAGAUAGAGAGGAGCAAGAGAAAGACAAAGACCUUCCGGAAGAGAGAGCUGAGCGACGAUGAUGGAGGAACGGGUGGUGGUCUCUGUCCGGCCACCGACCGGUGGUCAUGGUCCGGUGGUUUUGUCGCGUGAGAAUAUCUCUCCACCCCAAAUUCAUCUUUGAAACCCUAACACCAUCUCCGGCACCACCAAAUUCCACCAUAUCCGGCCACUUAUCCACACGAGGGGCAUGCGAUAUCUGAACCACCGCUCAACCUCCGUUCCGCCGCUUGACCUCCGGCCGGCGUCACACUCAUCAUCGCCUGAAUAUCCAUCUGAAGCGAAGCUUAUCCAUGGUGUCCUCCAGUUUCGUUACAGUCUAUAAAAGAAUUCGUUCAAGGUUAGUGCUAUUGCAAGCAAGUAUAUUGUUUCUUUGCAGUGAUUCAUAGUGUACCACAUUCUGACAUAGUCGGUUCAUGGGUUCAAGAAGGUAAUGGCGUCAAGUUGAUUGGGUGAAUCAAAAUUUAAGGGCUACAAGAUGUUAUAAAAAAGACCAAAUAGGAAAGUGUUAAAAUUUCAAGCUCAUUGUGGACUGUAAGGUGAUUCAAAUCUGGGACUACCAUUGGGUUGCAGGUGUGGAUGAAAGGGAAGGAAAAAACUAAUCAUGGCGGAGUGGUGGCAUACACGCGUGGAGCUAAAAGGUGAGGCACGCAGGCAGGCACCUACCAAUCGAGUUUCAGGCAU